rnacentral:sRNA from 1 species
AGACGUUUAGACACAAAGACCCCAUCUUGGCCACCAGGAUUAAUGAUACCUACAUUGUGAGCAGCUGUGAGCGAGGGGUGGUGAAAGUGUGGCACAUUGCCAUGGCCCAGUUGGUAAAGACUCUCAAUGGCCACGAGGGAGCCGUGAAAUGCCUGUUCUUUGACCAGUGGCAUCUCCUCUCAGGAAGCACUGAUGGCCUGGUCAUGGCCUGGAGCAUGGUGGGGAAGUACGAGCGCUGCCUGAUAGCCUUCAAGCAUCCCAAGUAGGUGUCUGUGAAGCCCGGAGCGAUGAACCUGGUGUCCUUCCCUUCCCCGUCAUAGCCUAGACUGCAAUCAUUGGCAGACCUUCUGCUCCCUGUAGACAUCAUGUUCUCUGCACCUCACCCUCUCUGCUUCCCUCCUCUUCCACCUGGGACCCAUUUUUCCCCACCAUCUUCUCUGUCUGACUGUUAACCUCU